GAGACAGUUCGGUCCCUAUCCUUCGUGGGCGCAGGAAAUUUGAGGAGCUCUGCAUUUAGUACGAGAGGACCGGUGUGGACGAACCUCUGGUGUACCGGUUGUGAUGCCAAUUGCAUUGCCGGGUAGCCACGUUCGGAGAGGAUAACCGCUGAAAGCAUCUAAGCGGGAAGCCAGCUCCAAGAUGAGAUUUCCCAACAGACAGGUUGGAGACUACAACCUUGAUAGGUCACAGGUGUAAGCGCGGUGACGCGUUCAGCCGAGUGAUACUAAUAAGUCGAUUGGCUUUCGCCA
rnacentral:rRNA from 1 species